UGAGUUUUUAAGAGUCUAGGAUGUGUGUGUGAAGAACAAGCCUCUUAGGGCAGAAUAGAGUCUUGAAAUGGUGAAGAAAGAAUCUGAUGAAACUAGUAUGAACUUAGAUCAGAAACAAAGAGACUUUGAGAGAUUAAGAGAUUAGAGACUAAGAAAGGGAGAGAUUAAGGGAAUCUGAUCAAGAACACACUUUUAUAAUUAUGAAGGAGAUGGGAAAACCCCCAUAC
rnacentral:lncRNA from 1 species